GACGAACGCUGGCGGCGUGCUUAACACAUGCAAGUCGAACGGUAAGGCCCUUCGGGGUACACGAGUGGCGAACGGGUGAGUAACACGUGGGUGAUCUGCCCUGCACUUCGGGAUAAGCCUGGGAAACUGGGUCUAAUACCGGAUAGGACCAUGGACUUCACGGUUUGUGGUGGAAAGCUUUUGCGGUGUGGGAUGGGCCCGCGGCCUAUCAGCUUGUUGGUGGGGUAAUGGCCUACCAAGGCGACGACGGGUAGCCGGCCUGAGAGGGUGUCCGGCCACACUGGGACUGAGAUACGGCCCAGACUCCUACGGGAGGCAGCAGUGGGGAAUAUUGCACAAUGGGCGCAAGCCUGAUGCAGCGACGCCGCGUGAGGGAUGAC
rnacentral:rRNA from 1 species